rnacentral:pre_miRNA from 2 species
AGGUGAAGUUCGCCCCGGUCAAUGUAUUUUUGAAAGUCCAUCACCGGGUAAACAUUCAUCUAA